CCUACGGGAGGCAGCAGUGGGGAAUAUUGCGCAAUGGGCGAAAGCCUGACGCAGCGACGCCGCGUGAGGGAUGAAGGUCUUCGGAUCGUAAACCUCUGUCAGCAGGGAAGAACGGUCACUGUGCUAAUCAGCAGUGAAUUGACGGUACCUGCAAAGGAAGCACCGGCUAACUCCGUGCCAGCAGCCGCGGUAAUACGGAGGGUGCGAGCGUUAAUCGGAAUUACUGGGCGUAAAGCGCUCGUAGGCGGUAUGUCAAGUCAAGGGUGAAAUCCCCGCGCUCAACGUGGGAACUGCCUUUGAAACUGGCAAACUGGAGUGUGUGAGAGGAUAGUGCAAUUCCAGGUGUAGGAGUGAAAGCCGUAGAUAUCUGGAGGAACAUCAGGGGCGAAGGCGACUAUCUGGCACAUAACUGACGCUGAGGAGCGAAAGCGUGGGUAGCAAACAGGAUUAGAUACCCCAGUAGUC
rnacentral:rRNA from 1 species